AGAAGAUCUAGCUAAGAUCAUUGAUGAAGGU
rnacentral:piRNA from 2 species